AGAAGUUUGUAGGAGAACUGGGAGCAGAACUCUAGUUACUGAUACCCGUCUCCUCUUGGUUCCAGGCUAGAGAGAAGAGUUGUGAUCCAGCACUGGAAAGCAAGAAUUUCAGCACUUUGGCUUUUGAGCUGGAACCAGAAAAAAUUGGGCUGAAAACUUGGAAGCAAAAAGGUUGAAGACACAUUUCACUGCGGAAACAGGAAAAAAAAACCACCACCAAAGAAUGAAAUCAGGGAAUGAAAUGGAUUGCAUGCAAUACAGAUAUUCUAUAUACGAAAUC